AGGACGAACGCUGGCGGCGUGCCUAAUACAUGCAAGUAGAACGCUGAAGACUUUAGCUUGCUAAAGUUGGAAGAGUUGCGAACGGGUGAGUAACGCGUAGGUAACCUGCCUACUAGCGGGGGAUAACUAUUGGAAACGAUAGCUAAUACCGCAUAACAGCAUUUAACACAUGUUAGAUGCUUGAGAGGAGCAAUUGCUUCACUAGUAGAUGGACCUGCGUUGUAUUAGCUAGUUGGUGAGGUAACGGCUCACCAAGGCGACGAUACAUAGCCGACCUGAGAGGGUGAUCGGCCACACUGGGACUGAGACACGGCCCAGACUCCUACGGGAGGCAGCAGUAGGGAAUCUUCGGCAAUGGGGGCAACCCUGACCGAGCAACGCCGCGUGAGUGAAGAAGGUUUUCGGAUCGUAAAGCUCUGUUGUAAGAGAAGAACGUGUGUGAGAGUGGAAAGUUCACACAGUGACGGUAACUUACCAGAAAGGGACGGCUAACUACGUGCCAGCCGCCGC
rnacentral:rRNA from 1 species